CUUGCAUCAGCAUUUUAGCUCCGGACGUAAAAAGGUUGAUAACCAGAAUCGUGCAGCAGUGUAUUGACAGGAAUAAGAGAUGUACAAGAUAUUACUGCUCUCGUGUUUAUAUGGAGUGGUUCUAAGUGACAUACCAGAUUGUUAUGUUAGUGGUUAUGGUUGGAUACCCCAGUUCACAUUUGUGCCUUUGGAUCAAAUGAGCUGUACAGGUUACUUAUGUUCUUUUAAUGAGUUCUACGAGCAGGCAGCGUUUAUUUACCGGGGAUGUGUCUAUGAAGGAGCUUGUUUGAAAUUUGAGAGUGACAUAUUUGACGAUAACGGUACUAUUAUAGCUAAAUGUACUGCUGAUAAUAUUCGUUGGAUGGAUUCUGUUUUUUAUGGCCUACCGCCGGGACAUACUGGAGCAAACCGAUAUUCAUUACAGGAACCUAAGAUUGUAAUAAAACAUCUUUAGGUUAAA